CUCUUUAUCUCUCCCUCCGCGCGCUCCUGGCCUCUGCUCUGCUCGCCAUCGCAAGCCACGGCUCCCUCCAUGUCUGGCGCUCGAACCUGCUCGGCCCUUUCCCCUGCGUGCGAGCUCAGUGUUCUCCCUGCGCGCUGUGGAGCUCCGGCUUAGCCUUCUUCCCAGCGCCGCGGUCCCUUCCAGCUCCCUCUGCCGCGGCCUCCCACUCCCCAGCCGAUUUCUCUGCGCACGAUGCUCCCUCCAGUCCUCCCUGCUCGCGUCGCGAAUUCCCUGCCAUGGCCAAUGUGCCUCGCGCGGACCGCGCCCAACCUCUUCAGCGCUCGGCCUCCAGUCCAACGUCACGCGCUCCUCCUCUGUCGCCCAUGGCGCGCGCCUAUUCCCUGGCCAGGUUCGCCGGCGUUCCUCCCGCGCCCUGCUCGCCGAUGGCGCUCGGCGCCCAGCUUUCCUGCGCGCCGGCCUGAACUCCAGUCGUCGCGCCCUCCUGCUCGCCCUCCUUGCUUCUUUCUUCCUUGCGGCGCUCACUCUCUGCUUCUCUCCCUCGAGCUCGCCGCUGUGCUUUUCUCCUGCUCCCAUGGCUGCUCGCCCAGCCAUCUUCCAUGGCCGCCGCGUCCCUGCUCUCCUCUCUGCCGGCGUCCAGCCCUAACUCGGAUUCCC
rnacentral:misc_RNA from 1 species